rnacentral:lncRNA from 1 species
UUGGCAUAGAAAGAAAGAAAAUUUUGUGUGACAAAAAUUAUAAAAGGGAUUUUCUUUUGGCGUGAAAAAUAGAACGCAUGUGUUUUGUGCGCUACCAACCUUUCGCCCCUUUCUUCCUCCACGCCAUCUCAUCAUUGUUUUCUCCUUUCCACACCCCUAUUCUAUAUCAGAUAAAGAUCUGAGAGAGGCCUUAGAGACAAAGAAAGAAAAUCAAGAAAAAUUUUUUUAAUUUUUUGAUGGUUAGGAUCAAUCCCUAGGAUCCUAUAUAGGGCUGCUUUAAGUAAUAUAAGGAAAAAGAUCCUGAUCCAAAUCGAAGAACGAAGCCUGCAAGGGGACUAACACCCCAAAGAUUUUAGAAUUUUGAUCGAAACAUCUUCAUGUGGAUACUAGUAGAGAUCCGAUGCUUGCGCGGCUUCAGCAGCAACCUCAGAUAUCCGCAGGAUCCGAUCCGAGAAAGGAGGGAAAAACGAUCAGGUAUAAUUUUUUUUUUCUGUUUUGAUUUCAGAUCUGAUUUAUUAAUUUAUUUAUGCAUGUUAGAUGAUCCUAGAGUUCAUUAAGAUUGAGAAUCUGCAUAUUUAGAUCAGAUUAAAAAUUUUAAAAUCUUCUUUCAUUAUGGUUACUGUAACCGUAUCGAUCUACACAUGCGAAUCAGUCUGUUUUCUAAUAGUGAUAUUAGAGCCAUAUCAUUCUAGCAUGUUUUAAAUAAAUUUUAUAUCUGAAAUAGUAUUCAUAUAAUUUGAUUUAUAGUUAAUAUAUCUGAUAUGUAAAAAAAUAUCUGAUCUGAAUUUAAUAGAUUACAUAUUAGAUAUAUUAG